rnacentral:lncRNA from 1 species
GAAUAAAGUUAAAACUAAUUAAAACUAAACAGUGAAAGAGUGCACAAUUCGUGGGUUGAACCCACUACAAUUAUUCAAAGCGUAAUAGAUAGGGAGACUACGAAAGAGUAGUCAAAGCAAUCAAAGUACACUUAUUACAUAAUAGUGAUAAGUUCCUACGUCUAAAUAGAAGGAAAUGUCAAAACUGCCAUGAUUCCUCGAGUGCCACAAAGAGUACAGCUAUCUAGGUCCUGGAGGGACGAAAAACAAAGUUGAGUGGCUCAGCAAAACGAUGCUUAUAAGAAAACCUUUUUUGAAUAUACUAACCCUUCGCCGUAAAACAAGUAUAGUUUCCUCAAAACAUACUACGUAAGUAUGAAAUCCAAUAUAUCAGCCAGAUAACUAGAAAUAUGCCAAGUAAAUGAUGUAUCAUAUGCCACAAUAAUAAUCAUGUGAUAAUCAAUAUAACUAAGUGCUCAUCCAUCUAAGCUAACACACACAAGUUCGAACAGAUGGUUUUUGACACGAACAGGACUGGGUGUAAUCAAUAUGCUCUAGUACUACGAUCACGUGAAGACUGGUGCAAAAGCACAUCACAUACAAGUCGGAUCCCCUAAUGUAAUCUACCCGACAAGACUAGUACCUAAACCUGGAUCCAAGGUGAGCAAACAGUGCGGAUGUGAACAUACACGUGAAGGACGGCCCUGGCCCUAGGGCGAGUACUAACACCGGGUGCAGCAAAAUGAGCAUGCACACAAGUACGUAUAAAUGCCAUGACAGUAAUAUCACAACCAUAUAGCAACAUUUAUCACAAUUUAUAUCACAAUAAUGAUACUAGGCAAAUUAGGCGUAAAAGUGAAGUAAAUACGCAUUUAUGGAAAUUAUAAAUAUAUAUAGGUAUAAAAUAAUUGCCUACUCACAAGUACGUUGCUAGGUCGUAGCCCCCAAGCCUAGCUUGGCCUCGAAAAUCCACGAAAUAAGUUUCUCCUAUAUGUGAAAUAACUAAAUAACAUUAAUUAAAGCACAUAACGGAAACCUAAAUAAAACCCCUAUAGUUUGCUCAAACCAAGGGUGUAAAUAUAUAAAAUCGAUCUACUCGAAGACACAAACACACACCUGUCAACCACACGCCUGCCAAAGGCCGGACGCGCCCCCACGCGCCGCCCAAAGUGGCUAUCGACUCGCCCUCACGUGCCCCCGCGAGUACACUGUACUCGCCUUCUUCACGAAAAUCUGCAGUUUUACAGAUUUUUGGGCCAACUUCCAGAGCCCCUAACGAGCUCAAUUCUCAACCAAAUUCACUUCUACAAAAGCCAAAUUAAAGCCAGGAAUUUGAUCUAUCGAUCCCAAUUUACAGAAAGUUCGAAUAUAGUCCGUGUUGUUCACAAAUUUGGCCUGAAAGUGGCUAAACGACCAUGGUUGAAAUUUUCCAGAAAACUAACAUUUUCUUCCCAACUUCCAGAGUUGAUUUCUAACUCGUUACUUAACCAAACUCAGUGAUUCAAAAGCUAUUUUGAAGUUAGGAAUGUAGAGAACAAGUUUGUACCUAGAAGAAGUCCAGUUGUGGUCGAGGUUGACCAGAAAAACAGUUUGAAAGUGACCAAAUGGCCACGGUUCUUGAGUGAAAAAUGGCAGGUUCUCCUUCUUCUCGAGUUUCUGGGUAAAACCACACGUUCAAAACACAAACAAAGGAUCAAUAACAACCCAUAGAAGUGAAAUGAAGGUUCUAAGGGUUUCUCAAGGCUUACCUAAGCCAUGCAUGGCCUAAAAAUCGAUAUGUCGAACUCGCCGAGCCGACCUUCCGAGUUGGUGAGUCAAAACUCAUCUACAUCAGAUUUCAAGGACAUGGUUGUGAUCGUGGGACUAAGAUGAUCACAAUGGUGUAGUUGGUUUGUCACGUUUGUGAGUUUUGGUGUAUUUUGUGGUUGCUGCAGAGAAGAAGAAGAAGAAGAAAUGUGGCGUGGGAGAGGGAGAAGAGAGAGAGAGAUAGAUACUUUUCUGAUUGAGGGAACAGAAAAUAAAGAAGAGAUGGGAUAGGUGAC